UUGGUGUGUGUUUGUGUUUGUGUGAGAGAGAGAGUCUGUGCUUAUGGUAGGUGGGGCUGUCAGGUGAACUGUCAAAACUUGCUUUCCUGGUCCUUGAGUUGGCUGAGUUUACUUUGGUUUUAAAGGUUCAAACAGCUUACUGAAAUACCAGAAUACCAGUCUACUUCAGCAGCCACUUUUAUUCUCAACAAAACUUAUAGCACGUUUGAAGAUGUCCAUUACGGUGUAUUACAGCAGUGUGAGUGGCUCUAGAGAGGUAAAGCAACAUCAGUCUGAGAUUUUCCAGUUCCUGGAUUCCAAAAAGAUCAAGUACUUUGCUGUGGACAUCGCAGAAAGCACUGACCUGAAGGAGGAGAUGAGGAAGAAAGUGGGAAACCCCUCGGCGAUGCCCCCUCAGGUCUUUAAUGGAGACAAAUACUGUGGGGACUAUCAGAAGUUUUUUGAUGCAGUGGAGGAUGGGAAACCAGAGGCGUUCUUCAAACUCUGAGCUACUAUAGACACACUGCACUAAUCCUCGUAUUUUCAAGAUUAUAUAUGUUAAGAAGAUCUGAGGGGGGAGAGGAUUGCCCUUUUCAGGUCGUUUCUCCUCAG